rnacentral:lncRNA from 1 species
CGGAUGUGAUGAAUUUGCUUGGGGAUUACAAGUAACUUGUUCCAUUCGAAGUAACUUGUUCUGCAUUUUUUUUUCGUCAUAUCAAUCAGACAUCAACAUCUUGAAAAUUUCAUUACACAGGUGAUAAACUUGACAGAAACAAACGACUUCAAAUCAGAUGAAAAUAAGAAAAUAAAAACAAGCAGACAGUAUUAAUACAAAUACUUCAUAGUUUCCUUUAUUUCAAAGGCCGAACAGCAAGCAUAGUUGAAGGUAGAACAUUCAGCAUGAUUCAUUCGAGGUUGUUGACAUACUUUUGAUUGAAACUUAGAGUUUGUUGCAUCGGAGACUAUUCUUAAUUAUCGGACACAAAGCCUUGAUUAGGUUGCGACUCGAUCUCCUUGGCGAACUCGUUGGAAGGAAGUCCGUCCUUGUAGCCGAAAGCUUGAUUAGGUUGUGACUCGAUCCCCUUGGCGAACUCGUUGGAAGGAAGUCCGUUCUUGUAGCCGAAAGUUUGAUUAGGUUGCGACUCGAUCCCCUUGGCGAACUUGUUAGAAGGGAGUCCGUUCUUGUAGGAGAACGCUUGAUUUGGUUGCGACUCGAUCCCCUUGGCGAACUCGCUGGAAGGAAGUCCGUUCUUGUAGCCGAAAGCUUGAUUAGGUUGUGACUCGAUCCCCUUGGCGAACUCGCUGGAAGGAAGUCCGUUCUUGUAGCCGAAAGCUUGAUUUGGUUGCGACUCGAUCCCCUUGGCGAACUCGUUGGAAGGAAGUCCGUUCUUGUAGCCGAAAGCUUGAUUUG